CAAGAAUUCUUUUAUCCAAGCUCUCGGCUUCAGGGGGAGAAACAAAAUCAUGUUGAAUCCUCAAUCUUUUGCUUAGUUUUCCAACACCAUACCCUUGCCAAAAAUUGAACCAUGUCAAAUUUCACGUCAGUUUGACACUACCAGUCCAGUCACCGCAAACACGAGUCUGUCAAUUACAGCUAUCCCAAACACGAGUUAGUCAAGUGUCCCAAACAUGAAUCCACAAAUGGUCCCAAACACGAGUCCAUGUCCAAUAGAAGCAGAUAGAGCUCAAUCACAUAUUUAAUUUGAGUUCUUGACUUCUGACACUGAGCAACAUGAAAAGCAACCAGGUAUUAUUAAUUUAUCUCAAGUUCCUAAUUUUAAUGAUACUAAUGUGGAUCUCCCAAAUGCACUAAAGAAACAAUCUUGAUCAUGCG
rnacentral:lncRNA from 1 species